AACGCGAAGAACCUUACCAGGGCUUGACAUGGGCAGGCCGCGGCCAGAGAUGGUCGUUCCCCGCAAGGGGCUUGCCGCACAGGUGCUGCAUGGCUGUCGUCAGCUCGUGUCGUGAGAUGUUGGGUUAAGUCCCGCAACGAGCGCAACCCUCGCCUUCAGUUGCCAUCGGGUUUGGCUGGGCACUCUGAAGGAACUGCCGGUGACAAGCCGGAGGAAGGUGGGGAUGACGUCAAGUCCUCAUGGCCCUUAUGUCCUGGGCUACACACGUGCUACAAUGGCGGUGACAGUGGGAAGCCAGGCAGCGAUGCCGAGCUGAUCCCAAAAAGCCGUCUCAGUUCAGAUUGCACUCUGCAACUCGGGUGCAUGAAGGUGGAAUCGCUAGUAAUCGCGGAUCAGCACGCCGCGGUGAAUACGUUCCCGGGCCUUGUACACACCGUAGAGAC
rnacentral:rRNA from 1 species